UUCCAGGAUCCAGGCUGCUUUCAGUCUGGCUGGGUAUUGGCAUGAGGCACUGUACAGCCUUAACCUUUCUCCUGAAGACCAGAAACUAUACACCUAACGAGAACAGCAACGAUUCACUGCCCACCCUUCUCCCUCUGUGGGUGAGGAUGGAGAAAAUCUUAUAGUGGGAUACACUUUGGCUAUCAGUCCUGCUGCCUUGGGUGCCUGCCUGACACUCCUUGAAAUGGUGACACAACAGAGUCCUUUUGGGUGCUGCCAAAGCCCUGCUGCAGGGAAUAAGUCUGAAUUUUGCUGCUGGUCAUUCUCUGCUGUCAGAUUCUGAACCCACUGCAUAAGCCUCCUGUGAAACCAGCUCUGAAACCCAGAAAACAUUGAAGUGGAUGGUUAAACUGGGCAUCAAGAGGAUAAGUAUUAUUAUAGUUAUUGCUAUAGUAUUGUUAAAUUCUAAGUAUUAUUGUAGUAGUAUUAUAUUGGACAGGUCUUUACUGAGGAGUUUUAUGAAAAAUUGUGUCUGGAUCAGAACCUUCCCCUGCAGUAACACAGAGGGAUAUCUAUGGUGUGUAGUAAAAUUACUAAUGAUUUUAUGAAACAUGCAUCAGCUAUAUAUUUUGUAUUAUACUAUGUUGUUAUUUCUGCUUUAAUCACACCAAGAGAAAUGGCUAAUUUAAAUGUGCAGUAACAAAAGAACCUGUUUUAUUUUCAUCUCCAAAAGAAGCAUGGCACUAGAGCCUAUAUUCUACAUGGUGUGCAGGGUUCAUUUUAUCAUUAAAAAAAACCAACAUGCCUUUGUUGGAUUCCUAAAAUAAUUUUUCCAUGGAUGAAAUUGUCAGCACUGAAAUUAGCUUUUAAUAAAUGGAAAGGUUGAGUCUUCUAUUCAUGAGAAGUAGUUUCAAAACUAAUUGUGCUUAAAGCCUUGCAAAAAGCUAAUCUGUUGUUUUGCUUUUCAGUAUCAAAAAUACUGCUGCUAAUGAUAUUCAUAUCAUUAUGAAAGAACAUCUUGUUAGGCAGAAAGACAGUAGGCCUCCAGCAAUUGAAUACAGGUGACAUAUUUGAAGCUUGAACAACAUCCAGGCACAGUCUCUCCAUCCCUUUCGGACAGAGAUAAUGACAUCAGCUAAAUCCUGACACAGCUCUGAAUAUUUACUGCCUCUUCAAUAACUGCUGUGAAGUCCUGCACACACUGCAGGGUGCUGAGGGCUUGAGUUUGAUGGAGUUUGUUCUAAAAAGCAUUUUUUAAACAUUUUACCUGUCACAGAAUAAUAACAUGUGUCCUGAUUAAAAUGGAUUGUAAAAGUGCCUCUGAAGCAGAAAAAUAAUUUUCAUAUUUAAGCACAUUUGAAGAUCCAAUUGACUUAAAUUUGUCCUAAAUUUACAGGAAACAAUCAAUACAGAAAGAUUAUUGGGAAGAUAGAUCAUCUCCGUCAAGAGUCAUACAUCUUGUUGGCAUCAACUCCAGUUUUAAAAAAUGACACUUACAGAACCAGGAGCCAAUAAUUUUCAUUUCAAAGAUCUCCCUCACUUCUAAAAUUACUUAGUGCACUAACACUGGAUUAUUCAACAGCACCAAGGUGCAUAUUCAAAGCGUCUCAAUUUGUUAGUAUUUAUUCUAAAUUACAACACGUUUUUUGUAAGGUAGAUAGGUGACAUAACUGGAGGAAAACAAUUCUAGAACUAAUGACUAUUUUAGUGUCCAGCUACCUCACCAAUCAAAGGAGAAUAGGGAAUAAUAUUUUUCUUCCUCCUUGUCCUUCAGAAUACUUAAAACUAGAAUUUGUGUCAAGAUAGACUUUUUCCUCCCUGCUGCAUGAAAAGAUCAGUCCGUUAUUUUGCAGCUCUUGAGCAGUGGGCUGCUAGCAAUGACGAUUUAUUAAAGAAAUAGGAACGCUAAAGCUAUUUCUGCAGUGAAGAAAAGGGAGAGAAUCAGAAAUACAAGUCCAGGUAUAGGAAUAAACAUGAUAAUGACAAAGUCUGGGGUUUAUGGUUUUAAAAUAUCCUUGAUUUGUAAUGUAAUUUUCAACAGAAUUAUUUAGAGUGCACUGUUCUUGUUUUCAGGUAACUUUAUUAGCUUGCUGUCAAAACCAGAAUUUUGCCAUUUUGCACAGGAAAGUGAUUAUAAAUAUAGCUCACAGUUUGCUUUUGUGAUUAUAAGUCAGGCGGAUGACUGCACACAAGUAACCACAAUUUACCUGCAAGAAUUAAGAAUUAUUUGACUGCUAAUGGAGUUUCUGAACCCUAUUGUCUGCUGUUUAACAAUUUUAAACAGAUCAUUUCAGAGCAAAAGGCAUCUAUAUAAAGAGAAUUACAGCAGACUACAAAACCCGCCCAUCAAACUCCAUAUUCCACUAUUUUUUGCAACAGAUGAAGACUUAGCUGUUGAUUUUAACUGCUCUACAAGGUUUCAAAGACUUCACUACUUACUACUUUUUGGCCACAAACCUGGAGUCAGCUUUGGGAGAGUUAUUUUCCAGUCUCUACCCGCAGAAAAGUUGCAAAGAAGGUUGGAUUCUAAAUUGUAUGACUUCUGCUCUGUUUUAAGAGCAGGGAGAGCAGCACUCAGAACACAUAUUUUACUAAGUUAUUAAGGUUCUGCUUCACCAUCCCAAAACCCCCUUCCACAGAUGUCCUGACAAAGGCAUUUCUGUAGCCAUUAUCACAGUAUCACAGUAUCACAGUAUCACAGUAUGUUUGGGAUUGGAAGGGACCUCAAAAGAUCAUCUAGUCCAAUCCCCCUGCUGGAGCAGGAACACCUAGGUGAGGUCGCACAGGAACAUGUCCAGGCGAGUUUUGAAUGUCUCCAGAGAAGGAGACUCCACAACCUCCCUGGGCAGCCUGUUCCAGUGCUCUGUCACCCUCACUGAGAAGAAGUUUCUUCUCAAAUUUAAGUGGAACCUCUUGUGUUUCAGCUUGAUCCCAUUGCCCCUUGUCCUAUCAUUGUUUGCCACCGAGAAGAGCCUGACUCCAUCCUCAUGGCACUCACCCUUUAUAUAUUUAUAAACAUUAAUAAGGUCACCCCUCAGUCUCCUCUUCUCCAAACUAAAGAGACCCAGCUCCGUCAGCCUUUCUUCAUAAGGGAGAUGCUCCACUCCCUUAAUCAUCUGUGUUGCCCUACGCUGGACCCUCUCCAGCAGCACCCUGUCCUUCUUGAACUGAGGGGCCCAGAACUGGACACAAUAUUCCAGAUGUGGUCUCACCAGGGCGGAGUAGAGGGGAAGGAGAACCUCUCUCGAUCUACUAACCACCCCCCUUCUAAUACACCCCAGGAUGCCAUUGGCCUUCCUGGCCACAAGGGCACAGUGCUGGCUCAUGGUCAUCCUGCUGUCCACCAGGACCCCCAGGUCCCUUUCCCCUACGCUGCUCUCUAAUAUGUAAUUUCCCAACCUAUACUGGAACCUGGGGAUAGUAGAUUUUAUAGUAGAUUUUAAUAGAAAGACAGCGUGAAGUUUCUUUCCCCAAAACUCUUCCAUUGCACACUAAUUCAGACAGAAUCAGUUGAUAACAAAAGUCAUUGGACCAUAAAAAACAACACCUGAGUCAGGGUAGGAGGAGCAAACAAAUAUGAGGUCCUCCAUUAAACAUGGGAGUCACAUCACUCAAGGUCUAGAGUGAGCAGACAGGCUUGCCCAUGCCUCUGCCAAGUCUGGCUGACACAAACAUUUGAUAUUGGCUCAACAUGCACUGGGAAGAAGAUUUCCACAACUGAAGAUUUAAAUUAAUAUUAGCAAACAUGUAUAUCUUGGUUAUGUAAGCAAAUCAAUUCCUUCAUCUGCAAGGAACUACAAAUAAAAUGCUCAAGAACUUGUCA